GACGAACGCUGGCGGCGUGCCUAAUACAUGCAAGUCGAACGAGUGGCGGACGGGUGAGUGAUGUCGGGGAAACUGCCUGAUGGAGGGGGAUAAGUACUGGAAACGGUAGCUAAUACCGCAUACCAUCAGAUCUGCCCAGAUGGGAGUAGCUAGUUGGUGGGGUAACGGCUCACCAGGUCGAAGAUCCCUAGCUGGUCUGAGAGGAUGACCGGCCACACUGGAACUGAGAAACGGUCCAGACUCCUACGGGCGUCAGAAGUGGGGAAUAUUGCGCAAUGGGGGCAAGCCUGAUGCAGCCAUGCCGCGGGUAUGAAGAAGGCUUUCGGGUUGUAAAGUACUUUCGGCGGGGAGGCGUUACCCACAGAGGAAGCACCGGCUAACUCCGUGCCAGCAGCCGCGGUAAUAC
rnacentral:rRNA from 1 species